CCCAGAACUGGCUGAACUCCCAUCAAGCCCCGGAGGAGAUCACUCUGCUCGUCAUGCUAGAGCACUUUUUCAAUGGGCUCCCCAACAACAAGGCGGCGACGCAUUCGUAUGUCAUCCAUAUUAACUUUCGAUGCCAUUUACUGCGCCUACCAUGGUGACCACUGGUAACGGGGAAUCAUGGUUCGAUUCCGGAGAGGGAGCCUGAGAAACUGCUACCACAUGCAAGGAAGGCAGUGGCGCACAAAUGACCCACUCCUGGCGCGGGAAGGUAGUGACG